rnacentral:rRNA from 1 species
AUGAACGCUGGCGGCGUGCCUAAUCCAUGCAAGUCGAGCGAACAGACGAGGAGCUUGCUCCUCUGACGUUAGCGGCGGGCGGGUGAGUAACACGUGGAUAACCUACCUAUAAGACUGGGAUAACUUCGGGAAACCGGAGCUAAUACCGGAUAAUAUAUUGAACCGCAUGGUUCAAUAGUGAAAGACGGUUUUGCUGUCACUUAUAGAUGGAUCCGCGCCGCAUUAGCUAGUUGGUAAGGUAACGGCUUACCAAGGCGACGAUGCGUAGCCGACCUGAGAGGGUGAUCGGCCACACUGGAACUGAGACACGGUCCAGACUCCUACGGGAGGCAGCAGUAGGGAAUCUUCCGCAAUGGGCGAAAGCCUGACGGAGCAACGCCGCGUGAGUGAUGAAGGUCUUCGGAUCGUAAAACUCUGUUAUUAGGGAAGAACAAAUGUGUAAGUAACUAUGCACGUCUUGACGGUACCUAAUCAGAAAGCCACGGCUAACUACGUG